rnacentral:tRNA from 1 species
GGGGUUGUGGGGUAACUUGGUUAGCCUACCAGGAUGGGGUCCUGGUGAUCCCGGUUCAAAUCCGAGCAGCCCCA